UCUGCCCUUCACUCUGGGACAAGCCCUGGAAACGGGGUCUAAUACCGGAUAACACUUCCACUCUCCUGAGUGGUGGUUAAAAGCUCCGGCGGUGAAGGAUGAGCCCGCGGCCUAUCAGCUUGUUGGUGAGGUAAUGGCUCACCGAGGCGACGACGGGUAGCCGGCCUGAGAGGGCGACCGGCCACACUGGGACUGAGACACGGCCCAGACUCCUACGGGAGGCAGCAGUGGGGAAUAUUGCACAAUGGGCGAAAGCCUGAUGCAGCGACGGGGCGUGAGGGAUGACGGCCUUCGGGUUGUAAACCUCUUUCAGCAGGGAAGAAGCGAAAGUGACGGUACCUGCAGAAGAAGCGCCGGCUAACUACGUGCCAGCAGCCGCGGUAAUACGUAGGGCGCAAGCGUUGUCCGGAAUUAUUGGGCGUAAAGAGCUCGUAGGCGGCUUGUCACGUCGGGUGUGAAAGCCCGGGGCUUAACCCCGGGUCUGCAUUCGAUACGGGCUAGCUAGAGUGUGGUAGGGGAGAUCGGAAUUCCUGGUGUAGCGGUGAAAUGCGCAGAUAUCAGGAGGACGACCGGGUGGCGAAGGCGGAUCU
rnacentral:rRNA from 1 species